GAUGAAGAACGUAGCGAAAUGCGAUAAGUAAUGUGAAUUGCAGAAUUCAGUGAAUCAUCGAAUCUUUGAACGCACAUUGCGCCCUUUGGUAUUCCGAAGGGCAUGCCUGUUCGAGCGUCAUUACAACCCUCAAGCUCCGCUUGGUAUUGGGCACCGUCCGCCUCGGCGGACGCGCCUCGAAGACCUCGGCGGCGGCGUCAAGCCCUCAAGCGUAGUAGAAUCUAUCUCGCUUUGGAGGCGCUGGGCGUCGCCCGCCGGACGAACCUUCUGAACCCACUUCUCAAGGUUGACCUCGGAUCAGGUAGGAAUACCCGCUGAACUUAAGCAUAUCAAUAAGCGGAGGA
rnacentral:misc_RNA from 1 species